rnacentral:lncRNA from 1 species
UAUGUUUUGAAGAUCACUUGUUUCUAAACAUAAGCCGCCACUCUUAGAAAUUCAGUGAAAGAUCCCUGAAUUAGCCAGUUAUUGGCAUCUCUGGGGACUUGGUGCCCUGGGUCUUUCUGGUAAAGAUGAUCGUGAGGGCAGCCUCUGAUGGAGCCCCUUUAUGCUGUUUCUUCAACAUCUUUAAGCCCUUGGAAAUGUUAGGCUGGUUUUUGUAGUUGUUGGAGAUGUGUGUCUAACAAAUGGAAUCUGAACUAAAGUUUUAGUGUGUGGGGCAGAAGUCAUUUUGGAAGAAAGGAUAGAUUAGACUAAGGUACAUAGCAAAGCAGGGGUGCAAUGCAGCCUGAUCCAAAAGGAGACAGGGAGAUGCAGCUGAUUGAUGUACAGAACUGAAUGACUGCCCUCCGGUGAGCUAAUUGUCGCCCCAAGACCUCCAUGUUGGUGCAACUAGGAAAAGAACUGCUUAAUUCCCAGUCACUCUCAAAUUCUUGGAGCCACACCCAUUGGAUAAAGCCACAUGAGGUUUUUCUGGUGCUGACAUUGAUAACAAGCUGCUAUUUAGGGAAAGGGUAAGACUGAAAGCAAAUAUUCAAAAUAGUCAGAAAGAUCAUGAACUUGUGAAAAUCUGCCCCAGGAGGCCGUUAACCACUACAUUUCUAAUUGGGAUUUUUUUCAUCCUUGCCUUGGCUGAGCUCUGCAUCAGAGAACCCCCUUCUGAUACCCACUCACUUCUGUGCCCCUUGAUGAAAAGGGGCAACUAAGCUUGAAAGUGUGAGGCAAGGAUUCCCUCACCCAGCAUAAUAACACCCUUUCUCUCCACCUUGCAACACACAGAGGGAGAUUCUGAGGGCUGACCACCACUCUUAAAACAAAUCUGAUUGACUUGAAUGUAGCAGAAAUUUUGCUCCAUGAGGGCAUCUCUCUUUACUACAACAGAUGUUCAUUCCAGACAACUGUUUGGGGUUUAAGUUUUGCUUAUAAUUCAUAAAAGAUACCAACUACCCAAUGGAUACCUUGAGGUCAAACUUCUACUUUCAUGGCCAAAUUAGUAUCCACAUUAGAAAGGCUAGAAUCAGGAUGUCUUGGUGAGUAUUAUGUUAGUUCCAGAUGACCUUCCUGAAGUCCCUUGUGCCUAAGACAGCAUGAGAUUAAAAAGUGUUUCCAUGCUGACCUAUGUGCUGAGUUGCUAAUUAGAGUUCAAAAAGCAGGCUGGUCACCUGCUAAGCUUCCAGACUGGGUUGGAUAUUUAGGGUCCUCCAGAUACUAGAAAUGAUAAUCAGAAAAAGCACAUGCUAUUCCUUUUUUAUUUAUAAUUCUCAUCUCUCCCCAAGAACCGUUAUAAAUUUUCUCCCAAAGGUGUUAUAUUCAUCCUUCUUUUGGCUCCUUUAUUUGUGAUGUGUACAGAGAUGAAAUAUUGGUUGAGAUUCAAAAAACAUCUAUGAGAUUUACCUUAAGCUUUGCCUGUCAGAGAGAUUCUAAGAGCUAAAAAGAUGGGAAGCUGACAUUUGGGGAUUAGAUUAAAAAGAAAAUUCAAAUUAAUCCCAAGGAGGAAUUCUCAGUAGAUGGUUAUUUAGAAAUAAGCACGUCAACCCCACAAGCCUAGUUGCUUGGUUGGCUGCACUGCCCCCAUCUUGGGCUUGCCUGGAAGAGUAAUAAUAACUUGUUCACCCCAGACCUGUCUUGGGAAGAGAGAAAUGUCACCCUCUAGCCCUAAAAACUCCUUCGGAAUUGGUUCAUUUCAAUAGCGUUUAUCAUUACACAUGGUGUUCUGGUAGUAAUAGAAAAGUGCAUUAGACGCUUCAGCAAAUGGAAAUGAAAUGUAAAUUUAGAUUGUAAAUAUAGGACUGCAGUAAAUAGAUAGCAAGGAAAAAAGAUGAAGAGAUUAGAAACUUGCCACAUCCCUCUAACCCUAAAGGGAUUGUUUCUAUAAAUAGUUUAAAAAGAUUGAAGAAGAAGGGGGAGGAAGAGGAGGAGAACAGAAGCAAACAGAUUUUCCCCUAAUCCUUUUCACUUUUGCAAAAUUGAAAAUCGUCUUUCAAUCAGUUUCCCCCAGCAGAAGAAAGAAACCAUGCCUGCUUUCACUUACUAAAGGGCGAGUGGGUAGGUGUCUGCUGGAACUGAUUCUGAGGAGGGCUCCCUGUUGGUAACAAGACUAGCAAUGUCCUGGUUGGGAGGGGAAGGGAUUAAGUCCAAAAAUAAGUCCAAAUAGGUGUGCAGGAAAAAGAAGGGCUCAGAGGGCAGGAUUUCCCCUGGAUUUUCUGCCUUGACUUCUAAUCUUUCCUGUCUUGGCUGACAGAUUAGGUCCCAGACGAGCAGGCCCUAAGAUUCAAACUAGAACUUUCAAGGAGGGGAACUAGCUUAGCUUCACUCAGCAGACCUUGCGUAUUCUGACUUUAAAAGAUUCUUUUAAUUCGGCUGUUUUUAGGGAGAGCUCUGUAAAGGCUAAAGGGUAUUUAAAAAAAAAGAGAGAGAAGUUCCCAUUGUGGCACAGUGGUUAAAGAAUCUGACUAGGAACCAUGAGGUUGCAGGUUCUUUCCCUGGCCUGGCUCAGUAGGUUAAGGAUCCGGUGUUGCUGUGAGCUGUGGUGUAGGUCACAGACACGGCUCAGAUCCUGUGUUGCUGUGGCUGUGGUGUAGGCCGGCAGCUGUAACUCUAAUUAGACCCCUAACUUGGGAACACACAUAUGCUGCAGGUAUAGCCCUAAAAAGACAAAAGACAAAAAAAAUAAUAAUAAUAAUUUAAAAAGAAGAAGAAAGAAAAGUUAAAAUUCUAUGAAGUAAAAAUAAAAACAUUAAACAUCUGACUGACAAAUAAAGUAAAAAUCUGGUACAUAUCUGCAACUGCUGAAGGGUACUUGACCAAGGAGGAAGAAAGCAGCCCCAAAAGAGACAAUGUCCUAACCUCUCUGAAUUGAGAUUCGAGCCACUGUCUGAAUGGGCCUGACCCCAGCAGUCUUGGGUGCUGAGAGCAGGAGAGACUCCUCCUCAAGGGGGAGAGAGUGGCCUGCCGUUUGUGUAAAGCUCUUUGUCAAGGUGCAACUCUGGGGAGUGCUGGCCAGAAGCUGGUAUUCGGGCAAGGAACCAGGCUGACCAUCAACCCUAGUGAGCUCUCUUGGAUGGGCAUAAACUUGUUCUGUCUGGUCCAUCACAGGGAAGCAGACCCAGAAAGACCAGAAGGCCCUCAAAAUCCUACCUUUGAAAAAUCCCUGUACAACCCCCUCACUCUCCUCUCUGUCUAUAGUCAGUUUCCAGUAAACCAGAAUCUAGUGAGUUGAUGUUAGCCCUAGAGUCCAAUAAAAUAAAAACCGUGACUGCCCACCAGAGGUAGACAACGAGGGAAGGAGAAAAAGAGAUGGUUUACACAAACUAAGGUGGCAGCUUAGACAGAAAAACAAUCUUAAAAAUUUUAACAAAUAAUGUAUAUAUUUAUCAGGGCUCCAGUGCCCCCCAGAAGCCCAGCUCCCGCCCACAGCAGCUGCCAUCUGAGCCUGUUGCCCAAUGACCCAUAGUUUAGUACAAAGGUUGUGGGAUCCAGACCAUAUGGACCCCCAGGGCCCAUCUGCAAAGAGCAGCUCCUGUUCAUGUUUUUGUAAAGCCUCCCCUGACUGUGAGAAUAGUGGAGGUAGCAACUAUAAGCUGACAUUUGGAAAAGGAACUCUCUUAAUUGUGAAUCCAAGUAAGUUUGAAGGGACUGGUGGGGAAUGGGAGGGAUUCAAAACACUACUUUCUCCUGAUUUAAAUGACUUGUCUUCCCCCACCCCCACCCCCCCAAUACACCUCAGGUUAGUUUCUAAAUCUAACGCUUGCAUUGGGAAGAUACGGUCCCCAUCAGAGAGAUUAGAACUCCGUUGUUCAAAGACUAAAUUACCUUCAGCCAAAAACAUUCCUAUCAUCCAUCUUGAACGAGAUUAUUGGUACAGGGAGAAAAAUUGAAUACAGGAUCCUGAGGGAUUCAGCUAAAGCCAGGAAAUGUUUGCCAAAAAGAUAGAGAGGAAAUUGGCAUAUUGUGACUAUGCAAAUUCAGCAGACCAAAUAUAAAUCUUCCUGAUGUAGAUACUAAAACUCCCCUAAAUUUAUCUCCUGAAAUAAUGGGACCCUGAGAUUUCAUUAACAAAUGCUGGAAAUUCUACAGACAGAUUUUUUUUUCUUCUGUUACCUUUCCUUUAUCUCUCUUAAAGGAACUAUUCUCCAUCUCUAGUCCAGUACCUGAGGUCUCUGUGGGUGGAACUGUCUGGUUAAGUCAGAACAUUUAACCCCACUUUUCCCUCCAUUACCAAACUUACUGCUUAAGCCACCAUUUCACUCGAGUUUAACCAAGGAGAGUGGGGAAAAAAGCCUUUGUCCCCUGAGUCAUGAAAAUAGAGCAGUACAUUCUCUCCUUCACAGAUACACCUACGCUUUUGUAAUGGUAAUAACAUGCGUGAGUACUUGGGAAAGUUUUUAAUGCCAUAUAUAAUAGUAAGGAACUGUGGUUGCUGUUGGCGUUUCUUGAGAACCUGUGUUUCUGGUGGGCUUCUGAGAGUGAUGCCUGUAAACUAAUGCUGGGAAGCCUGACUUGGUAUAAAAUUUGGGUAAAGGGGAAAUGGGGGGAAAAAACCUGCUGAAGGUCCCACCAUCUCCUUUUGAUAUAAGUGCCCUGGCUGCUGAGUUUCAUUUAUUCAAAUCUGCUUUCUGUGAUUAGGAAAAGAGGCAGCCCUGGGAGAGGCAUGUUGCAAAACACAGCCCAGUUCAAGCUCUUGAAAGACUAGCUCAGGGGGUGUAAAUGACUAAGUGAUGCAGUGCAUGCAGCGUUGAAGGAGUUAUUGCAGCCCUGGUAGCAGCCAGCUUGGUGUGUUCUGGGCUAGGUCCUGCCUAAAGAGCAUGCAGCGUGGUUAGCCAUGAAGUUGUCACAUGCAGGAAUGCCUUGCUCAGCUGGGGCAAAACCAGCAUGUGUCUGCAACAACAGCAACAGUGAAGAAAAUGUGAUAUUGUGGAAUCACAGGCAUUCAGUAGUCUCUGAGGUCCUAGCUAAUUAAAGCUCCAAGGGGAUUCAUGUGAACCUCUUGGGAGACUCAAGAACAUCACUUUUCAGAGGGUGGGCAGCCAAGACUGGGGACCAGACAAGAGAUUUUAUCUUUGGUGUCUUGCUAGAAGCACACUAGGGAGAGCUCUGUGGUGGGUUUUCCAGAAUGCUAGAGAAGCCAGGAGCUGCUCUCAGGACUGGAUGAGCCUCUUAGGAGACUGAGAGCUGUAACCCCUAGACAGUAAAAUGUAGAAGAGGCCAGUCUGGCCAUGCAAAAAAAAAUUAUCUGUGCAGGGUGAGCACCCUUCCAGAGCUCUAGACAGUAAUUGGAGCCCAGAUUUUCCAUACAAUGGACUUUUCUUCUGCAAGGGCUACAAGGCAAGGCUGGAGUCCAAGUGGUCUAUGACUAAAUCCUGUUUUCCUUCAAUCAGAAGAACACAGAGAUUAUUGCCACAGCAACAUUUUGGCACUGCCUGUUUGAGGGCUUCAACUAAGGGGGGGCCAUCUGAUUUUGCUUAUGUCCUGAUGUUACAGUAGGGUUGGGAGCACUCAGUAAACUGUGAUGCUAAGGAAUAGGAAUAAGUGGAAAGUGUCAUUUGAAUUCCUGACUGCUGUCCUUAAAGCAGACGGUCAUGUCUUCUUUGCUAAAUAAUAGCCUUUUUUCCCUCAUCCUUUUUGUGUUUCAUAUUGAUGCUUUGUUAAUAAGUGGUUGCUUGAAGAAAUGACUAGAGAGAGUAGCACCAAUUCAGUCAAAACUGUUGAAGAGUUUAAAAACUGAAUGCAAUUAAAUAUUUGUUUUUCCUCUUCUUUGGGGAUAGAGUUUGAUCACAACUGUGCCAAAUGAUGAGACUGAAUUUGGCUCCUCACACCAUCUGUGGUAUACACCAGACACAGCAAAGGAGACCCCUGGGUUUCCUAUGGUUGUGACUGUCUGCAGUGGAAGCUGUGUUUGGUCAAAGGGUAGAAUUUAUAGCAACUCCAAGUAAACAUGCAAGAUCCUUCCUCUAACAGGAUGUUCCUCUAACAGAGGCCUCAGUUAACUCUACCAGUAUAGCCAUUGGGCUGCUUUGUGAGGUCCGGACACCUCAGCUAGGGGAGACUAGAGAUUGACCAGUUGUCCUCUUUUGCCUGCACUCAAGGGACUUCCCAACACUAAAGUCUUUCUUUGCUAAACCCCACACAGCCCCCAUAAAAAGGCUUGGAUAUACACUUUCUGUGAGAUACUACUCAUAGUGGUCAGUAAUUCGAUUCAAGACUGACAGAAAAGCCAUGCGUGUAAAGAAAGUCUUAGUCAAAUGUGCCCAUCACUUUCAUUCCUUAUGCAGGGACAGUAAGGGAAGCUGGGGAGAUAGUGUUCCCUGGGGCUGGAAGCUGAAUCUCAUCGAAUUCUAGUCAGCCUCCAGAAAGCCGAACACUCUCCUCCUGUCUCCUUGUAAUCAAUUCAUUGUCAUCAGAAACGUGUGACACCUCGAAGGGAGGGGAGAAACGUCUUGAAAACUGAUCAGAGAAAUUGUCCUGAAAAUGAUGCUGUAAAAUGGAAAUGAGACCUUUAGAAAGAGAAGUGCUGAACAUGAGAAAUCAGUAAGCCCCAGAAUGGAAAUCAGAGGAAGCAGAGAGACACAGGAAACAGGCCCUCGGGGGAUGCAGGAGGCCAGCGUCCCAGAAACAGACAUGGGAAUGGUUCUCUGACCUUCGGUGGGAAGAAACUCAGUCUCACAGGUUCAGACCCCUCUGAGUAAGCUUCUUCUCCCCAGAAUCAAAGAGGAAGUUUUCUGUGAGCCCGAGGGGUGCCCCCGGGGUUCUUGUAAAGGCCUCCACUGCAGUGCUAAUACCAGUGGUGCUGGCUAUGGAAAGCUCACAUUUGGACAAGGCACCAUCUUGACUAUCCAUCCAAGUAAGUAUAACAGGACAUGGCAGCAUAUGGAAACUCUGAAAUGUCACCCCUGGUGUUAGUUUUAAGAGAAGUGUGUGUCACCUAGGAACCAGGUCUUGCUGGAAGUUAAUCAGUGACCUGCUGGGUCCUUUCUCUUCUUUAAUCUCAAUAAUCAUAGAUUCAUUUUUGGAUCUUGAACCACUGGGUCUAUUCCUCUGCUAUUGAGUCAAGCCAACCUUGACCCUGGAAAGACAGAAAAGAAUCUUUGCUGCUCUCAGAGGCUUCUCUGAUGAUGCCCAACUUUGGUGAGGAGGUUGUCGCCCCUUCCAACUGACUCCCCUGAGUAACCCAUUCUAACCGUUAGCACCUUUCCCCAUCAGAAAAUUCUUCCUUACAUCAAUCUUAAAUUCUUCUUGGUGCAGCUGAGGCUAUUUCCACUGGUAUCAUCCACAGCAGAGAGGGAUAAUUGAGAGCAGAUUUUGAAUAAGUAUGUGGCAUUCAGUUUAGAAUAGGUUUCAAAUGAAAGCAGAGAGGGGGGAAAAUGAAAACUGAAUGGGAAUCUGAGGUCUUAUUUCAAAUCACUCUAUGUUUCCUGCAUGUCUCCUAUGGCUUCUCUAGAUGCAAAACUACAAAAAGAGAGCAAAGAAAAAAAAAGGGGAUAGGAAAAAAUACAGAUCUGCUGUGUCCAUCCCUAUCGCUGAAACCACCAGGCAAGGGAUUACAAUUAAUUCCAAAGAGUUUCAGAUACAAGGCUUAAUACCUUUCUCCUCAUAGUAGUGACUUGUGUCCUUGCUGAUAAUUAGAGCAGAUAGAAAGAUUUGGCUUUGGUGUGUUUGCUGCUGCGCCCCACUGGGAAGAGAGAGAAACUCUGACUUUUUUAUUUUUUUAAGAUUCAUAAAGUUCCUUCUGUCAGUUGCUGUAAAACUCCCUGCUGCAGGGAGAAGCGUGGCAGCUCUGAGAAACUAAGAGUUAGAAAAGGGACUCGACUAAUGUGAAGCCGGGAAGCUGGAAAGACCCAGCUUCACAGUGUCCCCCAGGUAUUUUUGUAUUUUAGGCCUUUUGGCCCCUUCUUGCAAGGAUGCUUAUGGAGUCGAAUGGAAAUGGAUCAAGGAGGCUUGAGCCCCAUGGUGCUCAGAAACAUAAAUGAAAGGAAUGAGAGACAGGAAGGGGAAACGUUGAAAUACUGAAAUGUAGGAAUAUGUCUUUCUUGGCAGUGAGAUAAGACUGAGAGGGGGAGGAGGGUGUCAAAGAGAAAGGUGGCAAGACUCUGAUUGUAUGGCAGGCACUCUGUUUUCCUAGGCUCUCCAUCAAGGGCGGAGUCCUCCCACACCAAAGGGAUGAGAGGCCAGUCCUGCAUCUUUGCACAGGCUCAGUUCAUCAGGCAGAGAGCACAGUUCCUACCCCAGGGGGGUGGGGGGGUCCUCUGAUAUUGCUCUCUCCAUCUCCUCCAUGAGGGGCAGCAUCAAUUCAUCCCAGGUGGGUGUGGAGCUAGAAGGUGCUGCUGAGAGGUUGAAUGCUGGCUUGUUAUGAUUGUCUUGAAUGUGCAAGAUGCCUCCAAGAAGAGCCUGGGUCUACUGAGCAGGGGGCAGGUUGGACCAAUAUUGCAUCGCUUUUGUUGAGUUUCUCCAAGCCGGUAUUGUGGGAGCCAAAGCCGAGAGGUUGACAUUUGAGCCUGAAAACCCUUUGACCAAAAUACACCAAAGGGGUCUGAAAGGCCAACACCACCUUCAGAGCUCUGCCUCCGUUGUUAGCUCUUUGGCAGUUGUGAUUUC